rnacentral:rRNA from 1 species
AUUGAACGCUGGCGGAAUGCUUUACACAUGCAAGUCGAACGGCAGCACGGACUUCGGUCUGGUGGCGAGUGGCGAACGGGUGAGUAAUGUAUCGGAACGUGCCCAGUCGUGGGGGAUAACGUAGUGAAAAUUACGCUAAUACCGCAUACGAUCUAUGGAUGAAAGCGGGGGAUCGCAAGACCUCGCGCGAUUGGAGCGGCCAAUAUCAGAUUAGGUAGUUGGUGGGGUAAAGGCCCACCAAGCCAACGAUCUGUAGCCGGUCUGAGAGGACGACCAGCCCAACUGGAACUGAGACACGGUCCAGACUCCUACGGGAGGCAGCAGUGGGGAAUUUUGGACAACGGGCGUAAGCCUGAUCCAGCCAUUCCGCGUGCAGGAUGAUGGCCCUCGGGUUGUAAACUGCUUUUGUACAGAACGAAAAGGUUUCUACUAAUACUAGGAGCUCAUGACGGUACUGUAAGAAUAAGCACCGGCUAACUACGUGCCAGCCGCCGCAGUAA